UACGUAGGGUGCGAGCGUUAAUCGGAAUUACUGGGCGUAAAGCGUGCGCAGGCGGUUGGUUAAGUCUGAUGUGAAAGCCCCGGGCUCAACCUGGGAAUGGCAUUGGAAACUGGUCAGCUGGAGUGUGGAAGAGGAGAGUGGAAUUCCUGGUGUAGCGGUGAAAUGCGCAGAUAUCAGGAAGAACACCCGUGGCGAAGGCGGCUCUCUGGGACGGUACUGACGCUGAGACGCGAAAGCGUGGGGAGCGAACAGG
rnacentral:rRNA from 1 species